UACGUAGGUGGCAAGCGUUGUCCGGAUUUACUGGGUGUAAAGGGCGUGUAGCCGGGUUGACAAGUCAGAUGUGAAAUCCUGCGGCUUAACCGCAGAACUGCAUUUGAAACUGUUGAUCUUGAGUACUGGAGAGGCAGACGGAAUUCCUAGUGUAGCGGUGAAAUGCGUAGAUAUUAGGAGGAACAUCGGUGGCGAAAGCGCUUUACUGGACCAUUAUUGACGCUGAGGAACGAAAGCCAGGGGAGCAAAUGGG
rnacentral:rRNA from 1 species